rnacentral:rRNA from 1 species
GGCUACACACGUGCUACAAUGGGUAGUACAGAGAGUCGCAAAGCCGCGAGGUGGAGCUAAUCUCAGAAAACUAUUCUUAGUUCGGAUUGUACUCUGCAACUCGAGUACAUGAAGUUGGAAUCGCUAGUAAUCGCGAAUCAGCAAUGUCACGGUGAAUACGUUCUCGGGUCUUGUACACACCGCCCGUCACACCACGAGAGUUGGUUGCACCUGAAGUAGCAGGCCUAACCGUAAGGAGGGAUGCUCCGAGGGUGUGAUUAGCGAUUGGGGUGAAGUCGUAACAAGGUAUCCGUACGGGAACGU